AUUGAACGCUGGCGGCAGGCUUAACACAUGCAAGUCGAGCGGGGUGAUGGUGCUUGCACUAUCACUUAGCGGCGGACGGGUGAGUAAUGCUUAGGAAUCUGCCUAUUAGUGGGGGACAACAUCUCGAAAGGGAUGCUAAUACCGCAUACGUCCUACGGGAGAAAGCAGGGGACCACUUGUGACCUUGCGCUAAUAGAUGAGCCUAAGUCGGAUUAGCUAGUUGGUGGGGUAAAGGCCUACCAAGGCGGCGAUCUGUAGCGGGUCUGAGAGGAUGAGCCGCCAAACUGGGACUGAGACACGGCCCAGACUCCUACGGGAGGGAGCAGUGGGGAAUAUUGGACAAUGGGGGGAACCCUGAUCCAGCCAUGCCGCGUGUGUGAAGAAGGCCUUAUGGUUGUAAAGCACUUUAAGCGAGGAGGAGGCUCUUUUGGUUAAUACCCAAGAUGAGUGGACGUUACUCGCAGAAUAAGCACCGGCUAACUCUGUGCCAGCCGCCGCAGUAA
rnacentral:rRNA from 1 species